UACGUAGGGGGCAAGCGUUGUCCGGAUUUAUUGGGCGUAAAGAGCGUGUAGGCGGUUUGGUAGGUCCGUUGUGAAAACUCGAGGCUCAACCUCGAGACGCCGGCGGAAACCAUCAGGCUAGAGUCCGGAAGAGGAGAGUGGAAUUCCUGGUGUAGCGGUGAAAUGCGCAGAUAUCAGGAAGAACGACCCGUGGCUAAGGCGGCUCUCUAGUACGGUACUGACGCUGAGACGCGAAAGCGUGGGGAGCGAACAGG
rnacentral:rRNA from 1 species